rnacentral:lncRNA from 1 species
AUUAAUAAGAGGCAACAUCCAUACCGAAAACUAAACGGAAACGAUAAGCAAAGAAAACAACCGCCUUGCUCUCCGGGCAACACCUGCCAUGUGUCAAUGCCAAAUUGUCAAUAUAAUCCCAUUUUGCUAAGCCGACAUUCUUCAGUUAUCAGCAAAAGCUAGCCAAAUUUUAUCUCAGUUCACCCUGGUUUCAACGGUCUUCGAGACGACAUAGAAGGAAAAUUUUCCGUACACGAAAAUGCCCGUGGUACAUUUUCUCGGAUAAAUCGAAGCUUCCAAGUCCCGACGUUCAGAACCUGGAAAAAGGCUGUUUUCUAUCCACAUUUGAUCCACUUUUUAAACCGGUGAGUGCGUUUCAUAUUGUCAUUAUACUUAAGCGCGUUAUGUUAUACACUGAAGUUGCCACGAACAGCAUAAACCUACCAAUGUUCGUCCAUGGUAGAACGUUUUUGGAGCCAUAUUACGUGCGCAAUUCGAGUACAUCCCAUGAACUGUUUGGCUUUUCGUUACCCGCAUUUAGUUUAUCAACAUACUAGCUAUAUUGCGCGACAUUGCUCUCACGAGGCAGUUAUGCCGAAAACGCAGGUCUAGGCCCGGCAGGGUCAACAUGUGUUAGUUGGUGUUAGGACGAUAAUUUUAUAUAUACAAUAUAAUCCCAUAUAUGACAUAUACGUUUGUCACUUACAAGUACAAUGUCCACUUCAUCAACAAAAUACCCUUCUUCAUGAUGAAACAUUUGGCCACAGGCAUAUAAACAGAGUCGCCCUAUGUAUACUACAAUGGCCAGUCAAAUUAUGCCAGUCUGUGGCAGUCUCGCAGAAUACUCUCAUCUUAUAAUCUAACUCCUUGUGGUGAGGCAUAUUUAUGUUUUGUUUUGUUUUCCCCAUGAACCACAUUUGUAAGAUUGUACUGAUAUCAUUUGCCUGAUACCGAAGAGGUAAAUAGACUUCUAAUCUCUGCCACUCAAUUUAAGAUACCAUAAGACUGUAUCGCUAGCCAGCUACAAGACAAGCCAAUUUGAAGCAUGCAUAGCAAGCAAUAUGACGCUAUACAUAAAUCUCUAUGUUAGAAUAUAUAUACAUGUACGGUACCAACUACUGUGACUAGUGUAUGUCACCUAUCUAAUAAUAUAUCUCAAUCAGGAAUAAAAUUUACAAACAACCACAUAACUUCAGCCACGACACCAUACUCCAUAGAUAUCGUAUAUAAAUACACUAGAUGUCUAUGCACGACACGCAUGUAUAGAUCGUUAUUCAAGAUAUACAGAACUGUCAGAACACCAUGCACACGCAUUAUACAUACAUUAUGCCCUCACUAUACAAUAUCUCACUAUAUGGUCUACUCUCCAAACCCGGUGAAGAACCAAGAAAUCCAUUAACCAAAUACCGCCUAUACAAAAGAUUGCACAACGCAAAAUCCUGUAUAUAUGGACUAUAAUAUAAGGUAUAAAAUUACAAACUGGCAGAAGAAAAAUUGCUAGUAAAAGAAUUUAAAGAUCGUCGGUUUCUCACUCGUUCAGGAAUGCUCAGUACAGAUUUUAAUUAACCCCACUGUAGAGGAAACAUUUCCUGCCACACUCGGUAUUUGGACGCGGCAGAGCGCAUGAAGUAUAUGCAGCUGGGUUAGACGAUUUUAUUACCGACAUUCUGCUUUCAUGGGUUUCCGCAUAUUUCUCUCUGGAAAGCUUGGAAAUGCGC